CGGGACACGUGGUAUCCUGUCUGAAUAUGGGGGGACCAUCCUCCAAGGCUAAAUACUCCUGACUGACCGAUAGUGAACCAGUACCGUGAGGGAAAGGCGAAAAGAACCCCGGCGAGGGGAGUGAAAAAGAACCUGAAACCGUGUACGUACAAGCAGUGGGAGCACGCUUAGGCGUGUGACUGCGUACCUUUUGUAUAAUGGGUCAGCGACUUAUAUUCUGUAGCAAGGUUAACCGAAUAGGGGAGCCGAAGGGAAACCGAGUCUUAACUGGGCGUUAAGUUGCAGGGUAUAGACCCGAAACCCGGUGAUCUAGCCAUGGGCAGGUUGAAGGUUGGGUAACACUAACUGGAGGACCGAACCGACUAAUGUUGAAAAAUUAGCGGAUGACUUGUGGCUGGGGGUGAAAGGCCAAUCAAACCGGGAGAUAGCUGGUUCUCCCCGAAAGCUAUUUAGGUAGCGCCUCGUGAAUUCAUCUCCGGGGGUAGAGCACUGUUUCGGCAAGGGGGUCAUCCCGACUUACCAACCCGAUGCAAACUGCGAAUACCGGAGAAUGUUAUCACGGGAGACACACGGCGGGUGCUAACGUCCGUCGUGAAGAGGGAAACAACCCAGACCGCCAGCUAAGGUCCCAAAGUCAUGGUUAAGUGGGAAACGAUGUGGGAAGGCCCAGACAGCCAGGAUGUUGGCUUAGAAGCAGCCAUCAUUUAAAGAAAGCGUAAUAGCUCACUGGUCGAGUCGGCCUGCGCGGAAGAUGUAACGGGGCUAAACCAUGCACCGAAGCUGCGGCAGCGACGCUUAUGCGUUGUUGGGUAGGGGAGCGUUCUGUAAGCCUGCGAAGGUGUGCUGUGAGGCAUGCUGGAGGUAUCAGAAGUGCGAAUGCUGACAUAAGUAACGAUAAAGCGGGUGAAAAGCCCGCUCGCCGGAAGACCAAGGGUUCCUGUCCAACGUUAAUCGGGGCAGGGUGAGUCGACCCCUAAGGCGAGGCCGAAAGGCGUAGUCGAUGGGAAACAGGUUAAUAUUCCUGUACUUGGUGUUACUGCGAAGGGGGGACGGAGAAGGCUAUGUUGGCCGGGCGACGGUUGUCCCGGUUUAAGCGUGUAGGCUGGUUUUCCAGGCAAAUCCGGAAAACUAAGGCUGAGGCGUGAUGACGAGGCACUACGGUGCUGAAGCAACAAAUGCCCUGCUUCCAGGAAAAGCCUCUAAGCAUCAGGUAACAUCAAAUCGUACCCCAAACCGACACAGGUGGUCAGGUAGAGAAUACCAAGGCGCUUGAGAGAACUCGGGUGAAGGAACUAGGCAAAAUGGUGCCGUAACUUCGGGAGAAGGCACGCUGAUAUGUAGGUGAAGUCCCUCGCGGAUGGAGCUGAAAUCAGUCGAAGAUACCAGCUGGCUGCAACUGUUUAUUAAAAACACAGCACUGUGCAAACACGAAAGUGGACGUAUACGGUGUGACGCCUGCCCGGUGCCGGAAGGUUAAUUGAUGGGGUUAGCGCAAGCGAAGCUCUUGAUCGAAGCCCCGGUAAACGGCGGCCGUAACUAUAACGGUCCUAAGGUAGCGAAAUUCCUUGUCGGGUAAGUUCCGACCUGCACGAAUGGCGUAAUGAUGGCCAGGCUGUCUCCACCCGAGACUCAGUGAAAUUGAACUCGCUGUGAAGAUGCAGUGUACCCGCGGCAAGACGGAAAGACCCCGUGAACCUUUACUAUAGCUUGACACUGAACAUUGAGCCUUGAUGUGUAGGAUAGGUGGGAGGCUUUGAAGUGUGGACGCCAGUCUGCAUGGAGCCGACCUUGAAAUACCACCCUU
rnacentral:rRNA from 1 species